rnacentral:rRNA from 1 species
CAGUAGCCGCGGUAAAACGGAGGGUGCAAGCGUUAAUCGGAAUUACUGGGCGUAAAGCGCACGCAGGCGGUCUGACAAGUCAGAUGUGAAAUCCCCGGGCUUAACCUGGGAACUGCAUUUGAAACUGUCAGGCUGGAGUCUUGUAGAGGGGGGUGGAAUUCCAGGUGUAGCGGUGAAAUGCGUAGAGAUCUGGAGGAAUACCGGUGGCGAAGGCGGCCCCCUGGACAAAGACUGACGCUCAGGUGCGAAAGCGUGGGGAGCAAACAGGAUUAGAGAUCCCAGUAGUCCCUGUCUCUUAUAA